rnacentral:rRNA from 1 species
CCUACGGGUGGCAGCAGUGGGGAAUAUUGCACAAUGGGGGAAACCCUGAUGCAGCGACGCCGCGUGAGUGAAGAAGUAUCUCGGUACGUAAAGCUCUAUCAGCAGGGGAGAAAAUGACGGUACCUGACUAAGAAGCCCCGGCUAACUACGUGCCCGCAGCCGCGGUAAUACGUAGGGGGCAAGCGUUAUCCGGAUUUCCGGGGUGUAAAGGGAGCGUAGACGGCAGCACAAGUCUGGAGUGAAAUCCCGGGGCUUAACCCCCGAACUGCUUUGGAAACUGUGCGGCUGGAGUGCAGGAGGGGUAGGCGGAAUUCGUAGUGUAGCGGUGAAAUGCGUAGAUAUUAGGAGGAACACCGGUGGCGAAGGCGGCUUACUGGACUGUAACUGACGUUGAGGCUCGAAAGCGUGGGGAGCAAACAGGAUUAGAUACCCGAGUAGUC